AUGAUCACACUCUUCCAAUUUCUCGUCAUUGCGGCACCAAUCUUCCAGGUGAUCACAGCCUCCGACGCCGAUCCCCUCCAGGACUUUUGUGUGGCCGACCUCGCAAAGGACCUCACUCUCAAUGGCUACCCUUGCAAGCGAGCAGCCAACACCACCACUGAGGAUUUCAUCUUCUCGGGCCUUCGAAACUCCGCAAACACCAGCGGCCCAUCGAGAGCCGACGCGGUGUUUGGCUUCGUCCACAGUUAUCCGGGGCUCAACUCUCUCGGCCUCUCCAUAGCCAGGCUCGACUUUGCUCCCGGCGGUCUCAUCCCUCCACACACGCACCCACGAGGCUCAGAGAUCAUCUACGUCGUGGAAGGGAGCUUGUACGCCGGAUUCGUCACCACCCAGAACCAGCUCUUUGCUCGGGUCAUCUCCAAAGGCGACGUGAUGAUCUUCCCGCGGGGUUUGAUCCACUGGCAGCUCAACGUCGGUAACACCACCGCCAUGGCCAUCGUGACGCUGGAUUCGCAGUCACCGGGCUUCCAGCUUAUCGCAAGCUCCAUGUUUGGAUCGGACAUCCUGGACGAGGUGCUCGUCAAGACCUUCUUUAUUGAUGAGAAUGCGGUCCGGCAGCUCAAGGCGACGUUCUCUGGCUCCUCCUAAAUAGUUCACUUGAAAGUAAAAAUAAAUUUUGUACGGUAGAUUUUAUGGAAACUUGAUCGUUCUUUCUUUCAUUUUCAACACGUUAACUUCACUGACGUUUGUCGACUUUGUCGCUUAGUUUAUUUUUCAUGUGCAUAAAUUGACGUGGAGGAGAUGAGUGUGUUGUCAGGAUCCAGCGCAACUGUCAUCCUCCCCUCGAGCACAGCGUCCUGCAGCGGCAGGAGCGUCACACUCUCAUCAUAUUUUAAAGGUUUAUUUAGGAAAGGUCCACAAAGUUGAAAUAUUGUCUCACACUUUUGAAGAUGAUAAAUUUCUUCUUAUUGACCUUAUCUAGCACAUUUUAUAUAAUUUUUAGUACACUAUUGAUUUCUUUAAGAUUCUCCGAUUUGAAACUGGCCAGCAAGCAAAUCCAACAAAAGUACACCACUGCCAUUCCGGCCGCAAGGAAAUGUGCUACUGGAAGACCAAAGGGGGAUUGUCCAAGUACUGGAAUCGUGAUUUUGAUCACAUGAUGUCUUUUAUUAUACGUUCCACACUCUAGCACAGAACGGUCUGGAUAGGAAAUUAGAGGCCGGGGGAUUGGUUGGACGAUGCAAACGAUUGCGAAAUGAAGGGAAUUUUAGGAUUGUUUUAUAUAAAACAUCUAAACUUUCUAAACUUCACACUCAUAUUUUAACCUUUAAAGAACUCACUGGAAGUCAAGAUCAUUUGAAACUAGAAAACUAUUGGCAGGCUGACGUGUCAGUUGUGCAGAGUUUUUGGGGAGCUAGGCGUGGCAAAGGGGAGGCCGAUGGAGCUUUGGAAAUGCGUACAAAGAUUAUUUCGACAAAGAAUGCAUACACCGAAGAUCAGAAACUUGUGGAUCUAAAACAGAUGUAAAUCAUGGCGUGUCAAGCAGGACCUUCCACAUUGUCAACACAUUGCACCUUCCAUCCUUCGUGGAACUUCCACAUUGUCUUGGCACCCACGCCUUUCCAUCCUUCAAAUACCAUCUCACAACUCAAGGUACUUCUCAAAAAAGAGAUUUUAAUUCUUCUCACAAUCGUUUGUUUCCUCAAGUUCAAAAACACGAUGAUGUUCACAGUCCUCCAACUUCUCGUCAUUGCGGCACCAAUCUUCCAGGUGAUCUUAGCCUCCGACCCCGAUCCCCUCCAGGAUUUUUGCGUGGCCGACCUCGCAAAGGACCUCACUCUCAAUGGCUACCCUUGCAAGCGAGCAGCCAACACCACCACCGAGGAUUUCAUCUUCUCGGGCCUUCGAAACUCCGGAAACACCAGUGUCCCAUCGAGAGCCGUGGCGACAUUUGGCUUCGUCAACGAUUAUCCGGGGCUCAACACUCUCGGCCUCUCCAUAGCCAGGCUCGACUUUGCUCCCGGCGGUCUCAUCCCUCCACACACGCACCCACGAGGCUCAGAGAUCAUCUACGUCGUGGAAGGGAGCUUGUACGCCGGAUUCGUCACCACCCAGAACCAGCUCUUUGCUCGGGUCAUCUCCAAAGGCGACGUGAUGAUCUUCCCGCGGGGUUUGAUCCACUGGCAGCUCAACGUUGGCAACACCACCGCCAUGGCCGUGGUGACGCUAGAUUCGCAGUCACCGGGCAUCCAGCUCAUUGCAAGCUCCAUGUUUGGAUCGGACAUCCUGGACGAGGUGCUCGUCAAGACCUUCUUUAUUGAUGAGAAUGCGGUCCGGCAGCUCAAGGCGACGUUCUCUGGCUCCUCCUAAAUAGUUCAUGGUUUCAUAUAGAAACUUAGCAAAAUAAUAACAACCAUCUCAACAUAGCCCAAGUGGCACAUUUGCAAAGGUGACAUGAUGAAGUUGGAAUUUGCACCUUCACCACUGCUUCAGCCACCAAUUCCCUCGUGCAAAACAAUUAGGAUAAAGUCUUGCUUGCCCGGUCAACUCAUAGUCAAAAUUGAUUUCCGAAUGAUGCUUUGAAUUCGGUUAAUGAAGCAAGAUGGCGCAGGUAAACAAAACCAUAAUCUUUACAAAGCAUGUUAACCAGGUGCCAUUGUCGAGGACGUGUUCAAGUUUGCCUCUGGGUGGAUGAUGUUUGCCUCAGGGGUGUCAAUCUCUCAAGCUCCUUAUCAUCUGCCAGGAAGCACAAGAACAACUUACUGGGACCAAUGCCAAAAACAAAGGUGUCCACAAAGCUGUGUUUGUGAGGCGUAAAAAUGUGGAAACUUUUAUCCUUUGUAGCCACAGGCGCUGGAAACAAAUGCGAAAAAAGCCGUGCUCUCAAACUCCAAGCCAAAAGAGAGGUUGUAUUUCGUCAAAAGUCUAUCUCGACAAAAGCACACAGCCAUGCAAUUUCAAGCGCAAACAAACUAUCAGUAAGUCGAAAAGAAAGAAUGCAAGCAAGCAAGCAGGCUAUUAAACAUGCCUAUACAAAAAUAAAUAAUGCAGGAAAAAUGCUGGGUAGAGAGGUUGAGGGACUUGCUGUGGAAUUGACUUUGCAGCCCGCAGCUCACUUGGCUUUCGUUUAAAAAGUUCAAAUGGUGAUAAAUAUUGUAGUGCAUAUGAUCAUAGGAUAAAAUUUAAAUAUACUAUCACUAUAGAUUUUUGGAACCUUAAGGAUAAAUAGAGAUAAAAUAACUAUGAAAGACUAUCUCAUCAAGUAAUUACCCUUUUUUCAAUUAGUUUAAGGGGAGAGAGAUAGAAUGCAUUAUAGUAUCAGAGUAAAUGAAUAUAAAUUUGAUUCCCAUUGAUUAGUGGCUAAUUAAAAUAUAAUAUACCCUUGAACAAGGUUAUGAAUGUGACUGUAGAUAUUAAAAGUUAUCUAUCAGUUAAUUCUUUUUCCUUAUUGCCACAAGCAGAAGGUUGAUAUUGCUGGACCCUUUAUCAAUCCCUUUUAUGCUAGUGGAAUUAACAAGGUAUUUCAAGUGUAUUUAGACUAGACGAGCAUAAGGAUGAAAUUCUUAUGUGCUAUUAAUUAAGCAUACUUAGUUUGGUAAAAAGUUCCUAUCUCAUUAUGUCUUACAUUAGCUAGCAACAAAAACCCCCAUGUAUUGAGAUUAAUCCUUUAAUAUCACUAGAUGAUAGUUUAUUAUGUCUACCAAAGACUCUUACUAUCAUACCCUAAAUUUGAAAUUAUACAUAUAUAUAUAUAUAUAUCCCAAUAUAUAUUUCUAUAGUACCCUUUUUCAAUUGAGGGUGCAUUACAAUAUAAAGAAUGAAUUAUUUUUAUUUUUGCAAUUCUUUGAUAUCAAUAAUAUCUUUAUGAAUAUUUUUGCAUUUUAUGCUUAAGUACUCAAGAUAGGUAUAUUGAUUAGGGUUAAACUUAUAUACAAGAAUGGAUGGACUAGAUUUAAUCCCUAAUGAUCUAUAUGCUAUAGUACUAUAAUUAAUGUAUUAUGUAGCCAAGGUAAUACACACAAAUUUUAUUAAAUAAUUUUCAUAUUUAAUAAAAAUAUUUUUCACAUUGUUCUACAUUACAACCAUUCCUAUGAUUUUUGUAUGAUUUUUACCAUAUAUCGCUGUGGAUAAGUUUAAAUUUUUUAAUGCUUGGGUGAAAUAAUUUAGAAAUAGUAAUAAAUCUUGUUUAGAAGUGUAAAACAAAACUCUAAGUUAUAAAAAAAAUUUAAAUGAUCCAAACCAUUUUAGAAAUUGGAUAGUAUAUAGAAAAUAUUAAUUAUAAUUUUUAACUACUAUUUCAUUAUUUUGCACUUUAACUUUAUUGAUCUUUUGUAUAAAUUGAAUUGUUUAUCUUAGAAUGUACUAAAGUAGUGGAAAGAGAAAAAAUUAAUAGCCUUUAGACACAAAACAAAUAAUCUAUACAUUUUAAGCACUUCUAAAAUUUUAGGUGACAAAUGGAGUUACUGAAUUUUAUUAAAACUGGUAUCAUUUGUUAUUUUCUAAAGAUGAUUCAUAGGAGUGACAAAAUUAUAGUUUUAAUGGUUUCAAAACAUAAACACAUUAUUUAUACUAAUUUAACUAAGAAAAUUCAAAUUAUAAAAAGUUGAAUGGCAGAAAAAAUUACAACCAUUAGAAUGAAGAAUAUUCUAAAGUUACAGAUAAAUUUGUUAUAAAAUAUUAAUAAUAAUGACGUAAGUAAGAUUUCUUCAACUAACGCUGCAAAGAUUUAGUGGCCCACUUCAAAGGAUACAGGAAGUAAUAUAUAAAACGUGGGCAGAGCACCAUCAAACACAGAGUGACGGAUCCCAUCGCAACUGCUGUGUUUCAUGGAACCUUCUCCAAGCCUUUCCAUCCUUUAAAUACUUUCACAACCAUCUCACAACUCAAUCAAAGGAAGAGGUCACUCUUCUAAUUCAUAGCAUUGCUCUCUCGUUUGUUUCCUCAAGUUCCAGGGAUCACUCAAGAACACAAUGAUGAUCACACUCCUCCAAUUUCUCGUCAUCGCGGCACCAAUCUUCCAGGUGAUCACAGCCUCCGACGCCGAUCCCCUCCAGGACUUUUGUGUGGCCGACCUCGCAAAGGACCUCACCCUCAAUGGCUACCCUUGCAAGCGAGCAGCCAACACCACCACCGAGGAUUUCAUCUUCUCGGGCCUUCGAAACUCCGGAAACACCAGCGUCCCAUCGAG
rnacentral:lncRNA from 1 species